ACUCAAAUGAAUAGACGGGGACCCGCACAAGCGGUGGAGCAUGUGGUUUAAUUCGAGGCAACGCGAAGAACCUUACCAGGCCUUGACAUGUCCAGUUUGGAUCACAGAGAUGAGAUCCUUCACCUCGGGUGGCUGGAACACAGGUGCUGCAUGGCUGUCGUCAGCUCGUGUCGUGAGAUGUUGGGUUAAGUCCCGCAACGAGCGCAACCCUCGUCCUUAGUUGCCAUCAUUCAGUUGGGAACUCUAAGGAAACUGCCUAUGAUAAGUAGGAGGAAGGUGGGGACGACGUCAAGUCAUCAUGGCCCUUACGGCCUGGGCUACACACGUGCUACAAUGGCGGUGACAAUGGGCAGCAAGCGUGCAAGCGCAAGCCAAUCCCUAAAAACCGUCUCAGUUCGGAUUGCACUCUGCAACUCGAGUGCAUGAAGCUGGAAUCGCUAGUAAUCGUAGAUCAGCAUGCUACGGUGAAUACGUUCCCGGGUCUUGCACACACCGCCCGU
rnacentral:rRNA from 1 species